UACAGAGGGUGCAAGCGUUGUUCGGAAUUAUUGGGCGUAAAGCGCGUGUAGGCGGCCUUGUAAGUUGGGUGUGAAAGCCCUCGGCUCAACCGAGGAAGUGCGCCCAAAACUGCUUGGCUUGAGUACCGGAGAGGAUGGUGGAAUUCCCGGUGUAGAGGUGAAAUUCGUAGAUAUCGGGAGGAACACCAGUGGCGAAGGCGACCAUCUGGACGGAUACUGACGCUGAGACGCGAAAGCGUGGGUAGCAAACAGG
rnacentral:rRNA from 1 species